UACGUAGGGUGCAAGCGUUAAUCGGAAUUACUGGGCGUAAAGCGUGCGCAGGCGGCUAUGCAAGACAGCUGUGAAAUCCCCGGGCUCAACCUGGGAACUGCAUUUGUGACUGCAUGGCUAGAGUACGGUAGAGGGGGAUGGAAUUCCGCGUGUAGCAGUGAAAUGCGUAGAUAUGCGGAGGAACACCGAUGGCGAAGGCAAUCCCCUGGACCUGUACUGACGCUCAUGCACGAAAGCGUGGGGAGCAAACAGG
rnacentral:rRNA from 1 species